AUCAAAAAAAAGACUGAAUACGAUUCCUGUAUUCAGUCUAGGGAAAUGGCUCUUGGGAGAGCCGUGCGCUAAAAGUUGGCAUUUAUACAAGCUGUACUAGCCCUGUAACCUUAAGCGUAGCCAACUCCCCCGCGUUUUCCAGCUU
rfam:Erwinia carotovora subsp. atroseptica SCRI1043, complete genome